GACGAACGCUGGCGGCGUGCUUAACACAUGCAAGUCGAACGGAAAGGCCUCAGCUUGCUGGGGUACUCGAGUGGCGAACGGGUGAGUAACACGUGGGUUAUCUGCCUUGCACUCUGGGAUAAGCUUGGGAAACUGUGUCUAAUACCGGAUAUGAACUGCCUUUAGUGUGGUGGUUGGAAAGUUUUUUCGGUGCAAGAUGAGCUCGCGGCCUAUCAGCUUGUUGGUGGGGUAAUGGCCUACCAAGGCGUCGACGGGUAGCCGGCCUGAGAGGGUGUACGGCCACAUUGGGACUGAGAUACGGCCCAGACUCCUACGGGAGGCAGCAGUGGGGAAUAUUGCACAAUGGGCGGAAGCCUGAUGCAGCGACGCCGCGUGGGGGAUGACGGCCUUCGGGUUGUAAACUCCUUUCGACAGGGACGAAGCUUUUUGUGACGGUACCUGUAUAAGAAGCACCGGCUAACUACGUG
rnacentral:rRNA from 1 species